UACGUAGGUGACCAGCGUUGUCCGGAUUUACUGGGCGUAAAGAGCGCGCAGGCGGUCGUUCAAGUCGAGUGUGAAAGCCCCCGGCUCAACUGGGGAGGGUCAUUCGAUACUGAUCGACUUGAAGGCAGGAGAGGGAAGUGGAAUUCCCGGUGUAGUGGUGAAAUGCGUAGAUAUCGGGAGGAACACCAGUGGCGAAGGCGGGUCUCUGGGCCGUAACUGACGCUGAGACGCGAAGGCGUGGGGAGCGAACGGG
rnacentral:rRNA from 1 species